AGAGUUUGAUCAUGGCUCAGGACGAACGUUGGCGGCGCGCUUAAUGCAUGCAAGUCGAACGAGAACCUUCUGGUCCGUAAGGACCAGGUGGGGACAGUGGCGAACGGGUGCGUAACACGUGAGAAACCUGCCCUGGAGAUCGGGAUAGCCCGAGGAAACUCGGAUUAAUACCGGAUACCUUCACCGGAUCGCAUGACCUGGUGAAGAAAGGUCCGCCGCUUCAGGAUGGUCUCGCGGCCUAUCAGCUUGUUGGUGAGGUAACGGCUCACCAAGGCCGAGACGGGUAGCUGGUCUGAGAGGACGAUCAGCCACACUGGGACUGAGACACGGCCCAGACUCCUACGGGGGGCAGCAGCAGGGAAUAUUGCACAAUGGGCGAAAGCCUGAUGCAGCGACGCCGCGUGCGGGAUGAAUGCCUUCGGGUUGUAAACCGCUUUCAGGAGGGAAGAAAAUGACGGUACCUCCAGAAGAAGCCCCGGCCAACUACGUGCCAGCAGCCGCGGUAACACGUAGGGGGCGAACGUUGUCCGGAUUUAUUGGGCGUAAAGGGCUCGUAGGCGGCUUGAUAAGUCGGUCGUGAAAACCCGGGGCUCAACCCCGGGACGCCGGUCGAAACUGUCAUGGCUAGUGUCCGGUAGAGGUGAGCGGAAUUCUCGGUGUAGCGGUGAAAUGCGCAGAUAUCGAGAGGAACACCAGUAGCGAAGGCGGCUCACUGGGCCGGUACAGACGCUGAGGAGCGAAAGCGUGGGGAGCAAACAGGAUUAGAUACCCUAGUAGUCC
rnacentral:rRNA from 1 species